GCGCUCACAUUGGUAGUACAUAUAAUAAAUGUAGAGUGAUACAGAGGAGCUUUGCAUGGCCCCUGUGCAACGAUGACAUGUGUAUUCAUGAAACAUUUCACUACUUU